GUUGGUUGACGAAAUAUCUUUACAGGGUUACAUCUACCGAGGUGGGAGAUCAGAGGUGUCUCGCCAAUCCCGCAAUUUCUGUUCUAGCAACGUUGCAGGCUUCAAUGAAGCCGGAAGAGGAAGAUUUUUCUCCGCGGCAGCGGCAUGGUGGAAUAGUGUUACUUUAUUCGAUGGGUUUCUUGUUGGAUCUGGUUGUUACACUGGUUACGAACUGAUUAGGGUCUUUAACGAAUAUAUGAUUUCGAAGAGAGCUCAGGAAGAAUUGGAUAUCCGGGCACAACUUCAUAACGACAUGGUAUCCAAGGUGAUGCGUGAUGCAGGUGUGUUAGAUGAAUGAAUGAAUCAACGACAAUGGAGAAGGAGAAGAGCAAUGUCAACAUGGACUUUUGUGUUUUGUUGUAAAGAGUCUAAUAAGUGUGUACGAGUGGUUGUUGAGAGUUGUUGUUGUAGUGUGGCUUGUGUGUAAGAAAGCAAGCCGGGCCUUUCUAAUGUGAUGCUCUUAAGUAUGGGAGCAUGUAGAAGUAGUUAGUAUAAGUAUGAUGUGUGUGUUGUAAGAAACUAUCCUUGAUAUCCGAAAAUACA